rnacentral:rRNA from 1 species
GAACGUUGGCGGCGUGGAUUAGGCAUGCAAGUCGAGCGCUCAUCAGCAAUGGUGGGAGCGGCGAACGGCGUAGUAAUGUGUAGGAACGUACCCUCUGGACGGGGAUAGCUACGGGAAACUGUAGGUAAUACCCGAUGAUCUCUGCGGAGCAAAGGUGUGAUUCCGCCGGAGGAGCGGCUUACAUGAUAUUAGCUAGUUGGUGGGGUAAUGGCCUACCAAGGCGAUGAUGUCCAGGGGGUGUGAGAGCAUGGCCCCCACGACCGGAACUGAGAUACUGUCCGGACACCUACGGGUGGCUGCAGUCGAGAAUCUUCCGCAAUGGACGAAAGUCUGACGGAGCGACGCCGCGUGCGGGAUGAAGGCCCUUGGGUUGUAAACCGCUGUCAGAGGGGAUGAAAUCUCCGGAGGUUCUCCUCCGGAGUUGACAGAGCCUCAGAGGAAGCACGGGCUAAGUAUGUGCCAGCAGCCGCGGUAAUACAUACUGUGCGAACGUUAUUCGGAAUCACUGGGCUUAAAGGGUGCGUAGGCGGUGGUUCAAGUCAGAUGUGAAAUGCCUGAGCUCAACUGAGGCAUUGCGUUUGAAACUGGAUCGCUUGAGUAUCCCAGGGGUGUGCGGAACUGCCAGUGGAGCGGUGAAAUGUGUUGA